UGAGGGGAAGGCACCCGCUCGCGGGCUUGCCGGCGAGAGGAAAGUCCGGACAUCGCAGGGCAGGACUCCCGAUGAAAGUCGGGGCGGGGCGUGGAAACGCGCUUCGACGGCCAGUGUCACAGAAAAGAAACCGCCCGCGCAAGCGGGUAAGGGUGAAAAGGUGGGGUAAGGGCCCACCGCGCCGGCGAGCGAUCCCGGCGGCAGGGUAAACCCAGUCCGAUGCAAGGCAGAAUAGGGAGCCGGGUGGCCCGCCCGACGGUUCCGGGUAUGCCGCACCGGCGGACCUUCGCGGAUCCGCUGGAGCCUCCGCAGGGAGGCUAGAUGAAUGGGUGCCGCGGCCCGAAAGGGCCGAACAGAAUCCGGCUUACCCCUCGAUAU
rnacentral:RNase_P_RNA from 1 species